rnacentral:rRNA from 1 species
UGACAGGGAGACAGGUGGUGCAUGGUUGUCGUCAGCUCGUGUCGUGAGAUGUUGGGUUAAGUCCCGCAACGAGCGCAACCCUACGUUUAGUUGCUAACGCGUGAAGGCGAGCACUCUAGACGAACUGCCGUUGACAAAACGGAGGAAGGUGGGGAUGACGUCAAAUCAUCAUGCCCCUUAUGUUCUGGGCUACACACGUGCUACAAUGGCCGGUACAGACGGACGCAAAGCCGCGAGGUGGAGCAAAUCCUAAAAAGCCGGUCUCAGUUCGGAUUGCAGGCUGCAAUUCGCCUGCAUGAAGUCGGAAUCGCUAGUAAUCGUAGAUCAGCAUGCUACGGUGAAUACGUUCCCGGGCCUU